rnacentral:snoRNA from 1 species
UUGCAGCCUAGUAGGCCAACUGUGCUGCCUUCAUCUUGAGCACCUGGUGUGCAAUGGCUGCAAACAGCAUCCUCCUUGGUAGAGUGUGCAGCCUGUUGUUUGUAUGGAUUAUCCUGAGAGACCUUAAAGACAACC